rnacentral:pre_miRNA from 1 species
CAUCCACGUUCCUCAAGGCCGGAGCAGAGGAGGUCUCGGCCUCACCAUCAGAAUCCCACGCGAACUUGCUAUCAUUGUCGAGUUCGCGUGGGAUACUGAUGGUGAGGCCGAGACCUCCUCUGCUCUGGCCUUGUAGAAUGUGGAUG